ensembl:lincRNA
UUCGUCGCAUAUUUUAUCAAACAUACUUGCAGCCAUUGCUGAAAUUAUCGACCGGUGUACUUGAAUCUCCUGUAAUCAUAAAAUAGUGCAACAAACAUCCGAUAUCCCCGUUUUCAAGCGUCUACCAAUGGGAGACGAGGUUACAAUGUGUAAGCUCAAACCAGCCAAUGGCGUCAUUCGAUGUUAAGAAUCGUCGGCCCAGUUUACCGUACUAGUCGAGCAUUAGGCCUUUUUUUUUUUUCCUUUUUUUUUUGCAAAUCCGUUUCCCUUCACCGCUUGGUAGAUCACUAACCAGAAAGCUUGUACCUUUGUAAAGGACUUCGCUGCGCAGCCCACGCCACCAGGCCUUCGUUAGCCGUUCGCCGAAUGUAGGCGACGAUGUCCGGACGCUGAAUACGGGUCUUGACUCCUCGGACAUGCCGGGAUCGGUUCCGAUCCUUCGACGGAGAAAGAGGUGCUUUGAGAGGUUAGACCCUGACAAACCUGAAGAGCAAGGAAACCUUCUCAAGAGACCCCGCAAAGAUACUGCAGAGCAGAUAAUCGACGGAGCUUGGAAAACGGCGUUGACUGUGAAGGAAACGGCGUAUUGGGUCGCCUCGGCUGCUUUCAACUGGGUCUCCUCACGGUUACCCAUACUUCGUCAUGAGUUUUGGACCUCUGUGAAUGACCAAGUGGACAAGCGCCCAUGUCGCAUGUCCAGAAAAGAUUAUAUGCACACACCUGCAGCGCACUCUGCAUCAAGGUCGAAGUCAUCUUCACUGUCGAAACGCCAACCGUUGGUUUCUUAUGAAAAUGAAGAUGUGUCUCAUGAUGUUUGCAAGUGUGAUCAAGACAGAAGGAAAAACUACAGGGUAACAGAUCAACUUGUGCAACGUGAAGGUGCUCGUAAACAACAUCUUGACCGCCCUCCACCCUCGGUCCUUCCAGAGGAGAAGUCAGUACGUAGAAGGAAAGGACUGCACAGCCAACUGAACCACCACUCAAUACCCAGAUCACAGAAUGCAGCCAGUAACACUACCCACUAUGUGUCCACGUAUGAAAAAGCUUUUGCUCCCAGCAGUCCUGUGUCCUCAUUGCCCAAGAUGGGUGGUUGUCUCCUGCCUUCACGCUGCAGCGUCCUAUGCCGUAUGCAGCAGAAGUACCCCUGCACAAUUGAACAGAUAUUCCAGCACGAAGAGAAAGAAAAGUACCAGCAGCUUGUCCGAAAGUUUGUCCCUUUCAACAGCCGUAUACAUUCUCGUCUGGCCAGCCAAUCGUCCAGCUCACUCCCAAGGGGAUACGAAAGUCCUGUAUCAUUGGACAACGUUUCCUCGGUUGCGAGCCCUUCCCUUGGGAACGGCUCAUUAUCUGAAACGGACUUUUCUCCAGGCUCUGGUACUGAAACAGAAUCACUCUACAUUGUGAAGACGAUAAGAGCACCAAAAGCUCGCUCUUCCAGUUGUACCACAACCAUUAACAAGAAGCUGUUUGACUCCGAACAAUGGAUUAAGGAUCUGUAAGCAGCAACUUUGUCACUCAUCUCUUGCAAAAAAAAAAUCAAAAAAUCUGUUUGCUUGCUUUUUUGUGUGUUGCCUUUCAUAGCAUGUUUGUCACUGCUUAAAAAUAUAUUUUUGGUAGUCUCGAUUCUGGAGCUUCCAGAAUUGUGUCUUCAAGAUUUUACUUUGAGUAAAGAAAACCAAAAAAAUUACCCAACUUAAUUUUCUAUAUUUGGGUGUUUUGGCAUUAUGGUCUCAAAAAUUGGAUUCUCAAAUUUGAGAGCUUGUUCAUGGCACAUUAUUUCCUUUGUGGUCUCGAGAUCAGGGAGUGUAUUUAUAUGCACACGCUAUACUAACCCCAUGCAUGCAUGUGUUUUACCGAAAUGAGCACACCAACUCUGACAUGACAUCAGUGUCGUGUCAUAGUGUGCUUCUUUCGUUAAAUUUAUUAUUAGCUCACCUGGAACGUAAUCCGGGGAGCUAAUGGGAUGGCACGUUGUCAGACCAUCAGUCCGUCCGUCUGUCCGUAAGCACGUACAACUUGGUCUCCGAAACUGCUGAUGGGAUUGUGAUCAAACUUGGCCAAAAUGAUAUUUGGUAUGUUGCAACUCAAGUUUGUUCAUGGCAUUAAAAAGAAUUGGGGUCUAAGGGGUCCUAUCAGGGGUCAAAGUGGGUCCAGGUUUGACCUGCCAAAAUAGGUAUUUCCUUUUUCCUCUGAAACUACACACACAAUUUUAUUGAAACUUGACCACAACCUUCAUCACCCGCCGUGAUAUACCAAAGUUUGUUCACGACAUUAAAAAGGGGG